AUUGAACGCUGGCGGCAUGCCUUACACAUGCAAGUCGAACGGUAACAGGUCUUCGGAUGCUGACGAGUGGCGAACGGGUGAGUAAUACAUCGGAACGUGCCCGAUCGUGGGGGAUAACGAGGCGAAAGCUUUGCUAAUACCGCAUACGAUCUACGGAUGAAAGCGGGGGAUCUUCGGACCUCGCGCGGACGGAGCGGCCGAUGGCAGAUUAGGUAGUUGGUGGGAUAAAAGCUUACCAAGCCGACGAUCUGUAGCUGGUCUGAGAGGAUGAUCAGCCACACUGGGACUGAGACACGGCCCAGACUCCUACGGGAGGCAGCAGUGGGGAAUUUUGGACAAUGGGCGAAAGCCUGAUCCAGCCAUGCCGCGUGCAGGAUGAAGGCCUUUGGGUUGUAAACUGCUUUUGUACGGAACGAAAAGCCUCUUUCUAAUAAAGAGGGGUCAUGACGGUACCGUAAGAAUAAGCGCCGGCUAACUACGUG
rnacentral:rRNA from 1 species